AUGACUCAAUCGCAGAGCAAAAUGCCUCUAAACCAAAUAAGGUGGUCACCAACAGAGAGCCCCAGAUCUGCCCUAAAUUUUCACAGCCGGAUUCAAGGUAUUCCAGACAACUUAGGCACCCCCAAGAGCCCAUCUGCUGCACUGGAUGGAAGAAGGGAUUGUGGUAUCUUCUGCCAAGGAGAGCCAAAGAGAGUGUUGGAGCCAGGUAACUCAGGAACAACUUCUCACAGAAAAACAGACCACAGACCGGAAGGAAGGAAUGACCCACGGGACGAUGUCACCCACUUGAAAUACGCCACUGUCCUUCCAGCCUUCCUGUUGGUCAUGCGGACACCAAGGACCUGCAAGUUUGAGUUCCGGCAUUGCCACUUUGUCAUCUUCAAACUGAGGGAGAGCUGGAACAAGCUGCUUUGGAGGGAGGCAAGUCGUCAGUCCUCAUGCACUUGACCUUUGUUGAAUUAAACUACAAGGGACCCAGCACCCACCGUCUCCUAGUUACUACAGAUACUAAUCAACAAGGGCUCAAGGUCUGUUUGCAGCUUGUGCUUCUCCCAGCUGAGCAUAUACAUCCAUGGUGCCGUGUUCAACAAUGAGACCUCUCCACCCGCCAUCAUGCCUCCUGGUUCUCCAUAUUUGGGCCUAGAGCUAAACGAUCCAGGAUGCUCCCAACUCCAUCCUGAAACAUAUUUGGGCUGAUUUGCUUCUGUCAGCGUUUGCUUUGCGUCCUACCCUCCUAUCCUUGUUGAUUCAACCUUGGUUUAUUUAAUAUGUAAAUAGUUCGUGCACUCUACCAGAGACUCCAAGUGAUGCUUCUUUGCUACCCCGCUGAACCAUUCCGAACAGGCAGCCAUGGUUGAUUUUUGACUGACUGGUUGCUGAUGAUGGCUGGGGAUUAUGUGGAGCAGGGGUGACUCUGUGAGACCGUUGUACAUGGAGAGCCUGUAAGGUCAUGCCUUUGCCAUCCAUUCAUGUCCCCACGUGACUCAAAAGCCUCAAGCUAUCCAACGGCAUGUACCCAGAUGGCAGCCUUGGGAAGCCCCAAAGGGAAGGCACAGCAUCUGGGAUGCCACUCAGCAGAAAAAUGUCCCCAGGGCUUUGACCUUGAUGGAGCAGUGGCUGAUGAAGGAGUUUUUAGAAGCAGUACCUGCAAAAUAAAAUGUCCAAGACAGUGUUGCUUCCUCCUCUGUGGGAGAGGCUGCAGGAGGAAGGAAAGGGGCUGACCUUCCUCUGAGGUCAAGGCAGCUCCAUGCACAUGGUGCCUCUCUGGUGCAAAGAGGGCAAUGCUUUUCGGAGGAGCCUGGCAACAGAACAGCAGCCAGAAUGCUCUCUCCAUGGAGGAGAGAUAAGAACAAUAUGACUCAUUGAAUAAAUCAUUCUGAGAAAAAGCCUCUAGUUAACACACAGUCUACUCGUUCCACUUUUUAAUUAUAUUUAUCAGUCAUAAAAUCAUUCACAAACUAUUUACAUAAUUGGCCAUAACCUGUAAAACCCACAGCCAACAGACAAGUCACUCUUGGAGUCAAAGACAAAUAUCUUAAGAUUCUCAAGAAAUUCUGAUGCGGUUUGCCGCACAGAGUGUUCCUUCUCCUCUUUCCAUUCUGUGAGAUGGUUCACGGGUCAUCGCUGGGAUGCUCUGCCAAUGCUUCAUGCUAGCACAGCCUGGUGGUUUGUGCUGAUUGGGAGGAAUGAUUCCCAGGAAAGGAACUUAGCCCAGGAGCCGGGGGCUACUGAAAUGUCUCAGACUUCUCCCUAAAGCCUUCAAGUCAUCUCACCAGACAGAAGGACUGGAAUGCAGGUGGAGACUGGGUUAAAUCUCUUCCCUUUGAAGACUGAAGACAUCUUUCUGACCUCAUGAUGCAGUUAGAGGAAAGUGGCACCCAGUAUCUGUUCUCACCUAGACCAACUACAUCUAUGAAAUCUCCAGUCUGGAAAUAAAAUAGAGUACGGAGAGAUUAAGUGCGUAGCCUGAACUGCAGUGUGCUGGGGUCCAGAUCUAGCCAUUCCAGACUAGUUUUCAUUCUCUUUUCUGUGUCUCCUUAAACAGAUGAUAUAGAAAGACUCAUUUACUGGUCACCAAUUACACACAAGGCAGGGUCCUGGAUGCAAGGGUAACAAGAGGCAUUGGAUGUGGUUGACCAGUUGUCUAUUGCUGCACAGUAAACCACCACUGUUUACUUGCUUGGGAGUCUGUGGUUAGGGGCUGGAUUAGGGUUUCUCCUGCUGUUUAUGCUCCAGAACUCAUUGGUCCGGCAUUUCUUUUGGGGGCUAACAUGUCCUCACACGUCAGCAGGUUGGUGGCAGCUGUCAACUGGGUCACGUGAUUCCUCAAAGGGAGGCAAUAUUUUGAAAAGACCAGCCUCAGUACACAAGCACUCUUCAAGUUCUGUGGAUCAUGCUUGAUGCUGUCCUAUUGGCUUAAGCAAGUCACAUGCUGGACCCAGAAUCACCACAGGAAGAAGUUACCAACGGUGUGGGUGUAUAAUUCACUGAGGUUAGUGACUAUGGUAAUCUUAACACCACAGUUUCACAAAAAACAGGUUAUUGUGCAUUCAAAUGAAAAUUACAGCACGAAGCUUGUUCCUGCAUCCCAAGGUCCCAGGCCUGGACCUUUCUCUGUCCUCACCAUUCUGGCUCCCGUGUCCUGGCUGUCACUUGGUUCCCAGCAAGUUUUGAUGACUCAAAGCAUCCUAGAGAUGUGAACUCUGAGCCUGGGACUGCUUUGCUCCUGAGACAGCAGUUCUCAGUUGUUCGUUUUGUGAUCCUGGGUAGUAAAAUAUAUACCUGAUAAAAGAAAUAUAAAUACUGCAUAGAAUAAUCAACUAAAAAUAAAAGUCCCGCUGCCCUAUUUUAUCAUCUACUCCAUGGAUUUUCUUUUUCUUUCCUCUUUUGAAGACAUCACAGGGAUAUCUGAGCUCCCAAGUCCUUCUCAUUUCCUGUUCAAAACUUCAAAGCUACAGGAUUUCUUUGGGUCUGAAAAGCAGAGGGAUAGCGUGGGCUAUCCAUAGUCUGUAAUAUUCCACGACCUGCUCCUUAAUCCCUCCCAGCUGCCUGUGGCACUGGGAUUUCUUAACUCCAGGACUCUUGAUCAGGGGUCACCUCCUUCGCACUGGG
rnacentral:lncRNA from 1 species